rnacentral:lncRNA from 1 species
CCAUGAUCUUCGUGAGAGUUCUAUGUGGGGUUAGGUGUGUUUCCAUGGGCUUGCGUCAAGAGGAAGAUCUCAUACAACCCAUGGAGCAUGACGUCAAGUGGUGGAGGAUGGUGGCAAUGGACUUGUGAAGAUAUGCUGAAGAGCGGCUCACCCAUAGUGUGUAUGGGGGAGCAAUCAACUAGUCUUCAUCAAGCCAACGCAAUCAAGAAAGGUGGUUCAUCUUGAGGAAGCCAAGAUCAUCGUCAUCUAGCUCAAGAGGACGAGGUGCAAGGUAUAGGUUUGCCCUUGAUAGGUUUUUUGUUUUAGGAUAGAUUGUCGUACUGUCAAGGGGGGCUCUCAAGUGAGUAGCUUGAUCGUAUCAUUCGUUGAGAGCUCAAACCAUUUGCAUCCUUGCAUCGUACUUCUUGAUUCUUGUUUGGUGUUUCUCUUUAUGAGUUUUAGAGCUGAUGGCCAUCU